UACGAAGGGGGCUAGCGUUGCUCGGAAUCACUGGGCGUAAAGCGCACGUAGGCGGCUUUCUAAGUCAGGGGUGAAAUCCUGGAGCUCAACUCCAGAACUGCCUUUGAUACUGAAGAUCUUGAGUGCGGGAGAGGUGAGUGGAACUGCGAGUGUAGAGGUGAAAUUCGUAGAUAUUCGCAAGAACACCAGUGGCGAAGGCGGCUCACUGGCCCGAUACUGACGCUGAGGCACGAAAGCGUGGGGAGCAAACAGG
rnacentral:rRNA from 1 species